rnacentral:rRNA from 1 species
CCCCACCGGACAAACCCUAGCCUCACAUCCCACACUCCUCCCUCCUCCUCCUUCCUCAUUAGCCGCUGCUGCCGUUCUGCCUCCCUCCUUUCUGUCCUACAACCAUGCCGUCGGGGGGAAGCCGCUGUCCGUGGCGCCAUACCGCUGCUGGGGUGCUGCGCACACUUCGUUCCCCACAGCCCCUCCCUCAUCCUCGGUCAUCACCGCCGCUGCCUGCUACUCCCCUCCACCACCGUUGCUGCUUCUGGGUCGAAUCUGGCGUUGGUGGGUCAGAGCUCGAGCUAGAGGCCGAGAUGGGGAAGGUCAAAAAAGGAGACCGGAUGGAGGUGCUCGAGGACGAGGAAGCUGGAGAUGCACAACUAGCUUCACUGGCCAUCCGGUGGUUGGAGCACGGGGCAACGCUCCAGUUGCAAUGGGGUGGAGCUGCGCAGGAGGGGAAGGAGGCUCGCGACAGGGAGCCGGGCCAGGGAGGAGGCAAGGGAAUUACGUGGUUUUGGGUUUGUGAAAUUCCACCACCCUGAGGAUGCUGCAUAUGCUAACCAAGAAAUGAAUCAUCAAGUUAUUUGCGGUCGAGAGAUUACAAUAGUUUUUGCCAAGGAGAAUAGAAAAACCCCACAAGAAAUGCGCUUCAGAACAAGAUCAAGUGGUAGGCAUAUGGAUGGAAACUACAGAAGAAGUUAGUCGCUGUCAAGAUCCCCAAGGUCUCGUUACCCCUCUUAUUCACCUGAACCUUCUCCAGUUAGACGGCAUUCCAGGGUCAUUGUGGUGCCUGUUGGGCCUUUGGUGUUGUGGAGUGUCUGCAAGAUUGUUUCUGCAUUCCUAACGGCAUGGACAUUUCACUUUCCGUCAAUAAGCAUUUAUCUCUAUGUUAACUUGGUGUAAGGUAGUCUUGACGAUGUGUUGAGGCGGUCUGCUCAGUGACCGUUAGUAAGGUUGCUCAUCGACAAGCGAAAGAGCUUUGUGCAUUCUUGCAUGACUAAGGAAGAAAUUUGUUAUUUGAAGUAUGCACUACAGAUAUUGCAAGUGGGGAUCAAUGCUUUUUGGCAGAGCCAUCAAAGCCAACACACAAGCACACAAGAAGCAAGCGAGAAGAGACGAAUGGAAGAGGGGCGAAGAAAAGGCAAAGGUUUUCAAAAAUCGUUUCAGAAGUGGGGGAGAGGAAAACGAGAGGCGAAUGGCAAAUAAUGUAAUGCAAGGGAGAAGAGUUUAUGAUGGGUACUUGGCAUGGCUUGACUUGGCGUAGAUCUCCUCGGCAACGGCGCCAGAAAUACUUCUUGCUACUCUUGAGCUUGUGUUGGUUUUCCCUUAAAGAGGAAAGGGUGAUGCAGCAAGUAGCAUAAGUAUUUCCCUCAGUUUUGAGAACCAAGGUAUCAAUCCAGUAGGAGAGGAUGCACAAGUCACCGAAUACCUGCACAAACAAUCAAGAAUUUGCAACCAACGCGAUAAGGGGGUUGUCAAUCCCUUCACGG